rnacentral:rRNA from 1 species
AUUGAACGCUGGCGGCAGGCCUAACACAUGCAAGUCGAAUGGUAACAGGAAGAAGCUUGCUUCUUUGCUGACGAGUGGCGGACGGGUGAGUAAUGUCUGGGAAACUGCCUGAUGGAGGGGGAUAACUACUGGAAACGGUAGCUAAUACCGCAUAACGUCGCAAGACCAAAGAGGGGGACCUUCGGGCCUCCUGCCAUCGGAUGUGCCCAGAUGGGAUUAGCUAGUAGGUGGGGUAACGGCUCACCUAGGCGACGAUCCCUAGCUGGUCUGAGAGGAUGACCAGCCACACUGGAACUGAGACACGGUCCAGACUCCUACGGGAGGCAGCAGUGGGGAAUAGUGCACAAUGGGCGCAAGCCUGAUGCAGCCAUGCCGCGUGUAUGAAGAAGGCCUUCGGGUUGUAAAGUACUUUCAGCGGGGAGGAAGGGAGUAAAGUUAAUACCUUUACUCAUUGACGUUACCCGCAGAAGAAGCACCGGCUAACUCCGUG